AUGCUCCGCCUCCGGAGCUGCGUCCUCGCGCACCUGCUCUCCUCUCCCACCACCUCUCACGGCUCCACCUUCCGCCGUCUCCUCUCUGCCACCACCGCCGCGCCCGCCGUUUCCCCACCCACCGGAUUCGCCGUCGAGGAGUACCUGGUCGAUACCUGCGGUCUCACCCGAGCGCAGGCCCUCAAGGCCUCCGCCAAGCUCUCCCACCUCAAAUCCCCAUCCAAGCCAGACGCCGUCCUCGCCUUCCUCGCCGACCUUGGCCUCUCGACCACGGACGUCGCCACCGUCGUCGCGAGAGACCCCAAGUUCCUCUGCGCCGGCGUGGAGAGAACCCUGUCCCCAAUCAUCGAAGGGCUCGCCGGCCUUGGACUGUCGCGUUCUGAGAUCACGCGACUCGUCCCGCUCGCCGCAAACGACCACUUCCGCAGCAAACCCGUCGUCUCCAAGGUGCACUACUACCUGCGCCUCUUGGGCUCCUUCGAGGAAUUCCUUCGGGCAUUAAAGUGUAACCAACAUCUCCUCUCGCACAACCUCGAGAGGGUGGUCAAGCGGAAUGUCGGAUUACUGCAGGAGUGCACGUUAGGUGCUUGCGAUAUUGGCAAGCUUGCCAUCUCUAUGCCAAGGAUGCUCACCGCCAACGUGGAGCAAAUCCGGGCGAUGGUUGCCUCUGCUCAAGCUUUAGGUGUGCCUCGGGGCUCUGGGAUGUGCAGGCUAGCUCUGCGGUCUGUUGCAUUCGUCAGUGAGGAGAAGAUUGCUGCCAAAAUGGAAUACUUGAAGAAGACGUUUAGGUGGUCCGAUGCCGAGGUUGGCAUUGCUGUGUCAAAGGGUCCAUUUGUGCUGAUGUCGUCAAAGGACAUGCUGCACCGUAGGUCCGAGUUCCUUAUCUCUGAGGUGGGGUUGGAGCCGGCAUACAUUGCUCGCCACCCAUCAUUGCUCAGUUAUAGCUUGGAGGGCCGGCUCAGGCCCCGGUACUAUGUUAUGAAGUUUCUUAAGGAAAACAGAUUGCUCAAGAGUGACACGUCCUACUAUGCAUUUGUCAGUGCCACCAAGAUGGUAUUCUUGAAGAAGUUCAUAUGCCCUUACAAGGAAGCUGCACCACACCUUGUUGAAGACUAUGCAGCUGCUUGCAAAGGAGAAGUGCCGACUAGAUUCAGAUUUACAUGA
rnacentral:rRNA from 1 species